rnacentral:rRNA from 1 species
GACGAACGCUGGCGGCGUGCUUAACACAUGCAAGUCGAGCGGAAAGGCCACUUCAGUGGUACUCGAGCGGCGAACGGGUGAGUAACACGUGAGUAAUCUGCCCCUGGCUUUGGGAUAGCCACCGGAAACGGUGAUUAAUACCGGAUACGACCACUUCUCGCAUGGGAUGGUGGUGGAAAGUUUUUUCGGCCAGGGAUGUGCUCGCGGCCUAUCAGCUUGAUGGUGAGGUAAUGGCUCACCAUGGCUUCGACGGGUAGCCGGCCUGGGAGGGUAACCGGUCGCACUGGAACUGAGACACGGCCCAGACUACUACGGGAGGCAGCAGUGGGGAAUAUUGGACAAUGGGCGGAAGCCUGAUCCAGCAACGCCGCGUGAGGGAUGACGGCCUUCGGGUUGUAAACCUCUUUCAGCAGGGACGAAGCGCAAGUGACGGUACCUGCAGAAGAAGCACCGGCCAACUACGUGCCAGCAGCCGCCGUAA